AUUGAACGCUGGCGGCAGGCCUAACACAUGCAAGUCGAGCGGAUGAAGGGAGCUUGCUCCUGGCUUCAGCGGCGGACGGGUGAGUAAUGCCUAGGAAUCUGCCUGGUAGUGGGGGAUAACGUCCGGAAACGGGCGCUAACACCGCAUACGUCCUGAGGGAGAACGUGGGGGAUCUUCGGACCUCACGCUCUCAGAUGAGCCUAGGUCGGAUUAGCUAGUUGGUGGGGUAAAGGCCUACCAAGGUGACGAUCCGUAACUGGUCUGAGAGGAUGAUCAGUCACACUGGAACUGAGACACGGUCCAGACUCCUACGGGAGGCAGCAGUGGGGAAUAUUGGACAAUGGGCGAAAGCCUGAUCCAGCCAUGCCGCGUGUGUGAAGAAGGUCUUCGGAUUGUAAAGCACUUUAAGUUGGGAGGAAGGGCAGUAAGUUAAUACCUGGCUGUUUUGACGUUACCAACAGAAUAAGCACCGGCUAACUUCGUG
rnacentral:rRNA from 1 species